UCCUGUGAUCAGUCUUGGAUUAGUGA
rnacentral:piRNA from 1 species